rnacentral:sRNA from 1 species
AUGCACCCGCCGUACACUCCGGUUCCUGAGUGCUGCCCGCACCCACCUGACGAUUGCUCGCUACGUUUUAUUAGCC